GCCCUCCUCCCGCCUGCUCUGUGUAGGAGACAGCCUGCGGAGCCCACUGCCGGCGCGCAGAGAGCCCAGCAGCUCUUGAGUCCAGGAAGCAAGGGUGGGAGGAGGGACGAGCCAGUGGCAAUGACCCAGACCCGGACGACCCCCAUUGCUGAGCCAGCGGAGCUGCUUGGGUCCACGAGGCUGGUGUCAGACCUAUUGGGAGACCCUCUGCGUUAGUGAGAAAAACGGCAAGAAAUGGGAGCACGCGGAAACCUCCAAGACUAGAGCCACCAGAUGCCACCGACAGCACGCAGCUGGACCAGCACGGGGGAGGGCCUUCGUGGGUCGAGAGCUCGCUCGGGAGAUAGUUGGUGCUUUUCUUUCAGGAGAAGAAUCCCUGGCGGAGUCUGACCGUUCUCUGGCGCACAGCCCCGGGGGUGGGCACAGCAGCCGCCCCUGCUGAAGGGACUGACGCCUCCGACGACCAGCAGCCAAGUUAAACGCACUGUUCCGUGAGCAGCUUUGUUGGAGACAGCGCGGUUCACAUUCUCUUCCAACGGAGCCGCUGACUGCGGAGCUGGGAGGGGACGUGACAGAACCCAGCCAUCCAACGUCCCCCCACCCCUCCCCAGCUGGGACCUCCGGCUGCUUCCGGGCUGCGCUGGGUGGCGUCAAGGAGCCGCCCCUCUGGGCCGCGUCCCUCCCUCACGCCCUGCACACUGGCCCUGUGUGGCCGGCGGGGCGCCUAAAAGGGCGGAAGGAUGCAGGGGCGGAGGGGGCUCGGGAUUGCACGCCUAGCUCAGACCCCCCAGCCAGGACCCCUCGCGCUGUUGGACACGCCAGCCUCCCGACCCUGCGGCUCCUACGGGAGGUGACAAGGACCCUGCCAACCUGGCCUGAAUGGCCCAGUUUGAUACAGAUCAGGUUUUCAAUGAAUGAGACCGCGGUGUGGUCUAGGCGGAGGGAUGAGAGGAGGGGAUUCUGCUGGGAUAAGUGGGGGCGGGGUAAGGAGGGGAUUCUUUUCCUGGGCUGAGGAGAACGCAGGGACAAAGUACACAGGGGUAGUUGAGUGAGCAGGUGAGGCCCUAGGCUGGUUCCCCACCUUCUCAGGAUCGGAGCCACUCACUUCCUGGUACUCUCUGCAGUCUCCUGGCGUUAAAUAACAUCCCUUUGCUGGAGACUCUGGAUUCACAUCCAUAAUCGCAGCCUCCCCUACUCAUCCCCUCACGCUUCCCAUGAACUAACCUUGAAGGACCCGACCAGAGCCCUGACCUCCGUCCCACACACCUGCUACAUGGAAGGUGUUCUCCACAUCAGUUCAAGGCAGUGUCACUCUUCAGGAUGUUCAGGCUCUAAACCUUGGACUCCUCCUCCAGAUUUCUCUCUCCUUCCUUCUCCUUGUCUCUCCCUUGCACUUACGGUUCACUUUUCCUUCGUAGCUUUGUAGCUCAUUCCCCCUUCCACUUUCCACACCACCUUCUGGUCUGUUAAUUAAAUAUUACCUGGUUUCCACUGACACCUUCCCUGGGUUCCCAAUUGAAAAUCACAACAUCAUCCUCCUCCUCUGCUUUUUUUCUCCAAAUUAUAUCCUCACCCAAUUAUGUGUUAUUCUCAUUAAUCUUGCUUAAUUAAUUAGCAGACAUUAUUAAUGCCUGUUUCCCCUAUCACCACCACUAGACUAUGAACUCCUAAGGACUCCUUCCUUCCACCACUGUUGUACUCGCUUCACCUAGAACUGCUUGGCACAUACAAUGUGCUCCAUAAAUAUUUGUUGAAUGAAAGACUAGACACAACUUAGGAUUCACUCCCCCAUGUGGCAUCCAUAAGCCCUGUAUGCAGGUAAAAUGUCAGUGGGUUGACUAAAUACUGGAAGUGGAAAAAACUUCACCUCUUUGGUUUGCAGUUGUCUAGGAUAUUUAGGCCAAUGGAAAAUCCAGUUUUCCUUAGAAUUAAGCCAGUGCCGCCAGACUUGCCAGUUUACCAUGCUUGUCUGACUGGUCCUCAGCAUGGGUCAUACGUGUCCAAUGAAUUCAAACAAAAUCUUGAGAAGACACGAACCUUGCCCUUCGGCUGGGCGCGGUGGCUCACGCCUGUAAUCCCAGCACUUUGGGAGGCCGAGGCAGGCGGAUCACGAGGUCAGGAGAUCGAGACCAUCCUGGCUAACAUGGUGAAACCCCGUCUCUACUAAAAAUACAAAAAAUUAGCCGAGCGUGGUGGCGGGCGCCUGUAGUCCCAGCUACUCAGGAGGCUGAGGCAGGAGAAUGGCGUGAACCCGGGAGGCGGAGCUUGCAGUGAGUGAGCCGAGAUCGCACCCCUGCACUCCAGCCUGGGCGACAGAGCGAGACUCCGUAAAAAAACAAAAAAAAAACCUUGCCCUUCAUUCCCCAUUUCUAUCAUAAUCUACACAGAGUUUUGAACAGGCAUUUUAAAAUCAACAAUAUAUUAUUUACAAUUUUGUUAGUAUACAUAACUCUAACUCACUGUUAAAAAUCACCUGUCUUUAUAUCCAUUAAAUGACACUUGCAUAUG
rnacentral:lncRNA from 1 species